UCGCACCACACUGCGGGGGUGAUACACAGAAGAGAGUCACUGCAACGCCGUCGAAGGAGUGAUUUACCGUCAGUGUCAGAGAGAUGUGGACAUCAUCCGUUUAAUUAACGUGAAGCACAAUGAAUCCGGAACCAGUAGACGAAAAAUACUGUCCCCCCCUCGCACCACACUGCGGGGGUGAUACACAGAAGAGAGUCACUGCAACGCCGUCGAAGGAGUGAUUUACCGUCAGUGUCAGAGAGAUGUGGACAUCAUCCGUUUAAUUAACGUGAAGCACAAUGAAUCCGGAACCAGUAGACGAAAAAUACUGUCCCCCCCUCGCACCACACUGCGGGGGUGAUACACAGAAGAGAGUCACUGCAACGCCGUCGAAGGAGUGAUUUACCGUCAGUGUCAGAGAGAUGUGGACAUCAUCCGUUUAAUUAACGUGAAGCACAAUGAAUCCGGAACCAGUAGACGAAAAAUACUGUCCCCCCC
rnacentral:rRNA from 1 species